CGCGCACACAUAUAUAACGUGCAUAUAAUAAAUAAUAAUAGGUGUUUUCUAUGAUUACUUUGCUUUUUAUUCACUUUGUUCGUUUUACCAUCAGAUGAACCAAUAUUGAUUCAUUCAGUGGUGGUUAUGUACAAAGUGAGAUUUACUAUAUUAAAAACAUAGCAACCAUAAAAUUUCCCAAAAUAAUGAUGAUGAUAAUUAAAAGCCUAUAUAUGAAAAUUCUUGAUCCCUAGACCAAUGCCAAAAGUUAUAUAAAUGUCCUAACGUAACUUCAUGUGAAAUCAUGUCAAACUUAAACGGUUGCUUAAAUAAAAAUUGAUUUUAGUUAAUGCCAUUUAGUUCCCAAGUAAAAUCAAGAUUACCCUUAUGACAUCGCCCAAGCACACAAGAUAUGACCAAGUUGUGUCUCUCAACCACUGAAAAUACUCCAUCUUUUAUCCAACUAAGGAUAUCAAUAGAUAAAAUAAUAAUAAAGCUCAAAACCCCAAGUUAACAUAUCAACCCCUCCCCCCAACCACCCAAGAAAAAAGAACACCUCUCUCGUUUCCCAGCCAUAAAAAAUAGCUUCUUUAUUCUUAUAAAUUAAUAAGAUACCUACCAUUUCUUGUUUUUAGCCAAAGACAAAAACAGGUUUAAUAAUCAAUAUUCCCUGUUUCAUUAAUUCUGUAAGAGUUAAAUCCUUCACCAUCCAAUUAUUCAAACUUAUUUCUUACUUUUGAAUAGGAGAUGUGAUAAUUGAUCAUGGAUUUGUUCAUCUAAGCAAGAGACAACAAAAAAAAGGGCAAAAGUGUGACUAAUACUAUAUACCAAGGCCCAUGAACAAAAUCUGGAAAGUAAGAACAAUAGUGCAACUCAAACUCUAGCACUGAGUGUGAUGGAUGAAUGUUAGCACCACUCAUCCAUCUACUGUAAUCAAUACUAAUCAUGAUAAACUGGUAAGAAUAUUACAGCACUAAAUUUCGGAAUCUG
rnacentral:misc_RNA from 1 species